rnacentral:rRNA from 1 species
UACGUAGGGUGCGAGCGUUAAUCGGAAUUACUGGGCGUAAAGCGUGCGCAGGCGGUUUUGCAAGCCGGAUGUGAAAUCCCCGGGCUCAACCUGGGAAUGGCAUUCGGGACUGCAAGGCUGGAGUGCGGCAGAGGAGACUGGAAUUCCUGGUGUAGCAGUGAAAUGCGUAGAUAUCAGGAGGAACACCAGUGGCGAAGGCGACUUCCUGGCCUGUUCUUGACGCUGAGGCGCGAAAGCUAGGGGAGCAAACGGG